AUGGAGGAGGAUAAUGUAAGGGCCAGAUCAGAUGAUAAACAUUCACAUAAAAAAGAAUCGGACACAUCAGAAAAGAGCAGACAACUAAACAGUGACAAGUUUUUAAAGUGCUUGUACACAAAUGCUAGAAGUCUAAAUAAUAAGAUGGGUGAACUAGAGUGCCUUGUGAUAAAGGAGGAUAUUGAUAUAAUAAGCAUCACAGAAACCUGGUGGACUGAGAGCAAUCAAUGGGACACAAUCAUUCCGGGGUACAAAAUAUAUCGGAAGGACAGAACAGGUCAUGUGGGGGGGGGGGGAGUGGCACUAUAUGUGAAAGAAAAUGUAGAAUCAAAUAAAGUAAAAAUCUUAAGCGAAUCCACAUGUUCCAUAGAAUCUCUAUGGAUAGAAGUUUCAUGCUCUAAUAAGAAUAUAACAUUAGGGAUCUAUUAUCGACCACCUGACCAGGACGGUGAUAGUGAUGAUGAAAUGCUAAGGGAAAUUAGAGAGGCUAUCAAAAUUAAGAACCCAAUAAUAGUGGGGGAUUUCAAUUAUCCCCAUAUUGACUGGGAAUAUUUCACUUCAGGACGAAAUGCAGAGAUAAAAUUUCUCGAUACUUUAAAUGACUGCUUCAUGGAGCAGCUGGUACGGGAAUCCACAAGGGGAGAGGCAACUCUAGAUUUAGUCCUGAGUGGAGUGCAGGAGCUGGUCCAAGAGGUAACUAUAGCAGGACCGCUUGGAAAUAGUGACCAUAAUACAAUAGCGUUCAACAUCCCUGUGGUGGGAAGAACAUCUCAACAGCCCAACACUGUUUCAUUUCAUUUCAAAAGGGGGAACUAUGCAAAAAUGAGGGGGUUAGUUAAACAGAAGUUAAAAAGUACAGUGACUAAAGUGAAAUCCCUGCAAGCUGCAUGGGCACUUUUUAAAGACACCAUAAUAGUGGCCCAACUUCAAUGUAUACCCCAAAUUAAGAAACACAGUAAAAGAACUAAAAAAGAGCCACCGUGGCUUAACCAUGUAAAAGAAGCAGUGAGAGAUAAAAAGACUUCCUUUAAAAAGUGGAAGUCAAAUCCUAGUGAGGCAAAUAGAAAGGAGCAUAAACGCUGCCAAAUUAAGUGCAAGAAUGUAAUAAGAAAAGCCAAAGAGGAGUUUGAAGAACGGCUAGCCAAAAACUCCAAAGGUAAUAACAAAAUGUUUUUUAAGUACAUCAGAAGCAGGAAGCCUGCUAAACAACCAUUGGGGCCCUUUGAUGAUCGAGAUACAAAAGGAGCGCUUAAAGACGAUAAAGUCAUUGCGGAGAAACUAAAUGGAUUCUUUGCUUCAGUCUUCACGGCUGAGGAUGUCAGGGAGAUUCCCAAACCUGAGCUGGCUUUUGUAGGUGACAAAUCUGAGGAACUGUUAUGGAUUGAAGUGUCACUAGAGGAGGUUUUGGAAUUAAUUGAUAAACUUAACAUUAAACAAGUCACUGGGGCCAGAUGGCAUUCACCCAAGAGUUCUGAAAGAACUCAAAUGUGA
rnacentral:lncRNA from 1 species